GAUGAACGCUGGCGGCGUGCCUAAUACAUGCAAGUCGAGCGAACAGACGAGGAGCUUGCUCCUCUGACGUUAGCGGCGGACGGGUGAGUAACACGUGGAUAACCUACCUAUAAGACUGGGAUAACUUCGGGAAACCGGAGCUAAUACCGGAUAAUAUAUUGAACCGCAUGGUUCAAUAGUGAAAGACGGUUUUGCUGUCACUUAUAGAUGGAUCCGCGCCGCAUUAGCUAGUUGGUAAGGUAACGGCUUACCAAGGCAACGAUGCGUAGCCGGCCUGAGAGGGUGAUCGGCCACACUGGAACUGAGACACGGUCCAGACUCCUACGGGAGGCAGCAGUAGGGAAUCUUCCGCAAUGGGCGAAAGCUUGACGGAGCAACGCCGCGUGAGUGAUGAAGGUCUUCGGAUCGUAAAACUCUGUUAUUAGGGAAGAACAAAUGUGUAAGUAACUAUGCACGUCUUGACGGUACCUAAUCAGAAAGCCACGGCUAACUACGU
rnacentral:rRNA from 1 species